rnacentral:SRP_RNA from 1 species
GCCGGGAGAGGUUGCACAUGCCUGUAGUCCUAGCUACUCAGGAGGCUGAGGUGGGAGGAUGGCUUGAGCCCAGGAGUGCUGGACUGUAGUGCGCUAUGCCCAUUGGGUGUCUGCACUAAGUUCGGCAUCAAUAUGGUGACCUCCCAGGAGUGGGGGGACCACCAGGUUGCCUAAGGAGGGGUGAACCGGCCCAGGUUGGAAACGGAGCAGGUCAAAACUCCCAUGCAGUGGGAUUGCGCCUGUGAAUAGCCACUGCACUCCAGCCUGGGCAACAUAGUGAGACCCUGUCUCU